AAUAUUGCACAAUGAGCGCAAGCAUGAUGCAGCCAUGCCUCGAGUAUGAAGAAGGCCUUCGGGAUGUAAAGUACUUUCAGCAGUGAGGAAGGUAGUGUAGUUAAUAGCUGCAUCAUUUGACGUUAGCUGCAGAAUAAGCACCGGCUAACUCCGUGCCAGCAGCCGCGGUAAUACGGAGGGUGCGAGCGUUAAUCGGAAUUACUGGGCGUAAAGCGCAUGCAGGUGGUUUGUUAAGUCAGAUGUGAAAGCCCGGGGCUCAACCUCGGAAUUGCAUUUGAAACUGGCAGACUAGAGUACUGUAGAGGGGGGUAGAAUUUCAGGUGUAGCGGUGAAAUGCGUAGAGAUCUGAAGGAAUACCGGUGGCGAAGGCGGCCCCCUGGACAGAUACUGACACUCAGAUGCGAAAGCGUGGGGAGCAAACA
rnacentral:rRNA from 1 species